rnacentral:rRNA from 1 species
GUAGUCUGCACAGAUGCAUAUCAAUAAGCGGAGGAAAAGAAACUAACAAGGAUUCCCCUAGUAACGGCGAGUGAAGCGGGAAGAGCUCAAAUUUGAAAUCUUAAAGGGUUUCCCUUUACGAAUUGUAGUUUAAAGAAGUGUUUUCUGUUGAGGUUUUGGUAAAAGUUCUUUGGAAUAGGACAUCAUAGAGGGUGAGAAUCCCGUAUUUGACCUUUACUUUCAACUUUGUGAUACACUUUCAAAGAGUCGGAUUGUUUGGGAAUGCAGUCCAAAAUGGGUGGUAAAUUUCAUCUAAAGCUAAAUAUUGGCGAGAGACCGAUAGCGAACAAGUACCGUGAGGGAAAGAUGAAAAGAACUUUGAAAGAGAGUUAAACAGUACGUGAAAUUGUCAAAAGGGAAGCGUUUGACACCAGUGUUGUUUUUCUGAAAAUCAAUUAAAGAACUGUUUAUGCUAAGUUGUUUAGACUUUAUCAGCUAUCUGUUUAGUUUUGAGCUUUUCUUUAAUGCACUUUUCAGUUAACAAGUCAACAUCAAUUUCUUUUGCUGUAAAAAAGCUUGAGGAAGGUGGCUUGAGAUUCGUCUUAAGUGUUUAUAGCCUCUUGCCUAUGCAGUCGGAGAGAUUGAGGUCUGCAGCGUAGAUCCUUCGGGGCUAAAUGCAUUUGUGCUAAGUUAUAGCAUUUUAUAGGACAACUUGUUGACUAUGAUUUGUCUUGUAGCUUACUCGCUUAUGUUAUUUUACCUACGCUUAGGAUGUUGAUCUGUAGUGCGUGCGC